ACUCAGUGGUAGAGCUCCCGACUCAUAAGCGGGAAGACCUGGGUUCGAUUCCCGG
rnacentral:tRNA from 1 species